AAAGUAUGAAACUUGCCUGCUUCUCCAGCCCUCCAAUGUCAUUGUAGUCUUCAGUUGGCUUUUCAUCAACCUCCAUAGCCUUUACCCGAGAAUCAUACUCAGACGGCAAAGUAUCCAAGAUCAGGUAACUAUCUUUGUUCACACCAACAAGAUCACCAGGCUUCAAUUUAUCAGGAUCAACAAGCCCAACAACUGGCAGAAAGAUUGUCUGGAGUAAAGCAAAACCCAUAAUUUGGCUUGUCAGUAAUGCAUCCUAUAUAGUCUCUUUUAACCGAGAACACAUAUAUCAGAAAAAAGAAAAUCAAUGAUAAAGUCACCAAAGUCAUUCGGGGAUAAAAUUAUAACAUAAGUAUGCAGCCUUACCUGACGAGUAGAUGUUUUCAAAACAACACACUUUCCCUUUCUUUGGGAGUCAAGAUCAAUAUUUGCACCAUCCUCCUCAGCCUCAUCUUCUGGGUUCAUUUCCAGAAUCUGACAGAUACAGAAUAUUAGAGCCUAAGGAUAACAGAACUCCCUCCCACACACCACCAACAUACUAAUAUCAACUAAAAGAGCUUAAAGUUCUCAAUACACUCUUAUUAAUAUUAAAUGAAAAACAACCACACAAUAACUAGUAAAGAUUUAAAUUACAUCUUUGUAGACUCGUUAUAUGACUAAAAUUAGAAAAGGACUGCGCGGAAAUAGAUGUCGUGUUGCAAUGACAUACAUAAGGAGCCAAGUCCUCCAAUUUAUUACAGUUUACUAUAACAGCCAUCAUUCGAAAUUCCAUAUCUGAGAUAUUUGCUCACACGGCAAAAUUGGAACUCAAACAAGCCAUAUUGGCCCAUAUCCUGUUCUCAAAAAAAUAAAUUCUUUCAUGGUUUCAAAGAGUGUAGUUCAACUGGAUUGUAUGCUAACCAUAGUACAAGAUCUUAUGCCAAUUUCGAUUCUCAGAUUCUGCGUAUUCUAGUUUUUGCUAAAGAGAGUUUCUAUAAUGACCUCAACUUCACUCACCCUAAUAAAAAAAAUCAAUACUUUCUCCAAAUUGUCUAUGUAACGGGUUUUCGCACGAAAACAAUUGAGAAUACAAGAAGACACACAUACCUCAACAAUGUUGCCCACCAAGUACGGCAGCUGCUUAUUGAGCUUAAUCUUUUCCUGAUUCUCCUUUAUCUUCUCUUUGUACGAGUCCAACUCCAAAUUUGUUCUUGACAUUUCUUCCUUCAAUCCCACAAACAAAAAAUCAGGAAAACAAACGAACACAAACAUUCACAUAAUAAAAUCCCAAAGCUACCCAAUUCAGAAAAACCCACACCCUAAUUAAAAAUUAAAAAUUUCCCAAACAAAUCAAUCAGUAAACAGAAGUACAAAUAAACCCUGAAAUCAAAAUCAAGUCCUUCAUCCUAAUUUUGCAUCGAUCAAAGCAAUAACUAAACAAGCGCAAGCACAGAUAGGGAGAAAGAAGGACCUUGAGUAUUCGGAUCUCGUUGUCGAGAAGACGGGUGGCUCGUACAAUAUCUUCGGUGCUCAUCGCGGCCAGCUGAUCAUCUUCAAAACUCGUUUCCUCUACCAUCAUGUUCGCCAUCGAUUCCGAUUCUUCUUCUCAGAGAAGAGUUUUCAGCUGCGGAUUGAGAGAGUGUUGGGGGAGAGGAAGAGUGCUUCUCUACUUGUUCUUAAAGAAAGGAUUUUUCUGAACAGACGAGUAAAAAUGGGAGGUUUUUCUUAUUGGGCCCAAUUGCGUAUAGACAAUAAAUGCUGGGCCCGGCCCAAUAGAUCAACGACGAGAGUAGGAUCGAAACAAAUUUAAUUCAGUUUGUAAGGCAAGGAAUCCAAGGGAAACCGAUACAAAUAUUUGAGAUAAUCCGACGAAACAAACGCACUAGUAGACUAUGUACAGGGGAUUAGUCAACCCAGGAGAGGAUACACCACUUGUGGGAUGUGUAAUAUAUUAUAUAUGAUACAAAGUUGCUGUUGAAGACAACUCCGAGAAACAAAUACUUGUUUGUUCGAUGUGAGGGCAACGUUCUAAAAAACGUUAAGCGCUAGUCGGGAGGCAGGCUAGCGCCUAGGCGGAUUUAGGUAAAUUUCUUGUAUAUCUUGUAAAUAAGUGCAUAUUGACACUUACAAAAAAUUAUACUUGUAUGAAAUUCAUGGAUAAGAUAAUAAAAUAAUGAUAAAAUGCAAAAAGAGUAUCCAACAAGUCUAAAAUUUAAAAACACAUUAAGCAUAUAUGCCAUACAACCAUAGUGAGAAGUAUUGUAGAAUGACGCAUGUACAACAAGUUUACAAUUUAAAACAACAUAAAAUGGAAAAUAGGAGGAAAAUAAAGAAAUUUAGUAAAGUAAGAUACUUAUCUUUAGCAUCCCGGAAUUUAAGUUGAUACACAACACACCUAUUCUAUAAAAUUAACAAAAUUUCAAGGUAUAAUUAUACUUAGACUUUAAACAACUUUAAAAAAAAAAAUAAAAAAUAAAAAACCACCCAACGGCCUAGCCCGCCUAGACCCAUCCCGAUUUUUCCAAUCGUUUUGUACAAAAUCGCCUCGGUUCCAAGGCGCCUAGCGCUUAGGCGGCCGCUUAGGACGUUUUUUAGAACACUGUGUGAAAGUAAUAGAGUCACACAUCAUUUGACAAAAUUCUCUUGAACUAAUGAAUUGUGCUUGAAUGGUUUGAAGGGUCGUCAAAUAUAAUUUGGGUCGCUCUUUUGAUGAUGAUUGUAAUUCUAUGACUCCUAAAUGUAGUCUCCCUCGUACCCUCAAGGUUACUUAAAAAAAAAUAAAAAAAUAAAAUAAAAAACAGAGAAAAACAGACAAAUAAUGCAAUUAUGUGUUGGGAAUGAAACUAAAAUAUUCAAAUAGUCUUGAACAGUUGACAUGCGGGAGGGGAUGGGGAACACAGAAACUGCGGUGAACGAGAAAUUUUUCAAUGAGUACUUGGGUGUAUCAGAUCGUGUUCCCGACAUACUAAAAAAUCUCACAGUAACAUAUUUCAAAGACCAUAUUCCUGCAACACAUUAAACAGAAGCGGUAAACCAUAUUCUUGCAAAAUCUGAAGGGAAACAGAGGCCACCAAAGAUUCAAAGAUAAGCAAUGAAAAUUAGAGAUAUGACAUGCAGAAAGAGGUAUUUCCCCAUCAACUAACAUUUCAGUUACACAAGGAGCGACUGGGGAAAGCAGCUGACCAGUAGCGGGUUCCUAGCAAGACCUAAAUAUCUUUUCACUAGAUUUCAAAUAUCACUACAACGAUGAAUACACAAAGGAGGGUUUGGUUUUUCCGAACGAAAACGCGCCAACGUUCGGUCUAGGCAUAAUAAUUCAGGCUAGCCUUCUUCUUCGCUUGAACUUGGAUAAUCCCCUCGUUGAAGUCUUCGUGGUUCACCUGAAGUAGAAUCAAAACAAAACUUUACGAUUACCGCACGUCUUAUUGCAGGUUUUUAAGUAUACCCACAAAGUCAAGUCAGUAGACGUAUGCAGUAAGUGAUAGAGAGAGAAUCACCUCAGUCGCGUCACGGCGAAGAGCUAGCAUGCCUGCCUCCACACAAACAAACAGCUUUUAGCUGUGCUCCGUUGAAGUCAUCGGUCGAGCGAGCCAAUUCUUCAAAAUUGACAUCAGGAUGAACAUUCAUCUUCCUUGAGUGAAUCUACAGGAUUGAGGUAAAGGUUUUAAUAACAAUGUUAUCACCAAGCACAAAAGUAAUCACAAAACAUAUGCAAUGGUAAAAGACAAACCUGCAAAAUCCGAGCUCUUGCUUCUUCAGUGGGAUGAGGAAGCUCAAUUUUACGAUCCAACCGACCAGAACGCACCAGAGCAGGGUCCAGGAUAUCAGCACGAUUUGUUGCUGCUAUCACCUGCAUUUAAGACAAAAGAAUGGUACCACUAUCAAAUUUUACAUGCUAGAUUCCCAGUAGUUAAAAGUAUGGAACAUGUUAAGAUUCAACUGAAGUUCAAAAGUCUCGAACACCUUGUACUGUGAAGUGAAUCAUAGUUGUAGGAAAAGCAAAUACAUUGCAGACAAGGAAACAAACCUUGAUACGGUCAUCACUACUAAAUCCAUCAAGCUGAUUUAGCAACUCAAGCAUUGUACGCUGCACCUCCCUAUCCCCGCUCACUUCACUGCAAUAAAAAAAAGUGAGCAUAAAUUUCAAACAGGAAAGAAUGGAGUGAUCAAAAUGGGAAACAAUAUCUAUGGAUAAAUUUGUUAGUUCAAAUGACUGCUCAGGAAGUAUAGUUUACCUAUCAAACCGUUUCGUGCCAAUUGCGUCAAUUUCAUCUAUGAAAAUGAUGCAGGGGGAUUUCUCUUUUGCAAGCAGAAAGGCAUCGCGAACAAGUUUAGCUCCAUCUCCAAUAAACAUCUACAUCAAUUACAAGUACGAUUACUUCAUUAAAGACCCAGUUACAAAUCCAAAGUUUACUCACAUCCUACAAAGUUGAGCAUGUUUAAAGAUAAAGGGCUUGUUAAUACAGAGAUCAUCUCCCCAAAAUGAUCAAUUCCUCUUAAUAUGAAACAGGUAAAAAGAAGGACAACCUAAGAAACAACUAAUUUAGAUCUAGCAAACCCAAAGUCACAAACAAAUAAUUCAAUUCUUCAGGAUGCAGGACCCUCUAGGUGCGUACCCAAAAGGAUCAAUUCCCUCCUUAUACGACACAGGUAAAAUAAAGGACAAUCUAUGAAACAGCUACUUUAAAUCUAGCAAACCCAAAGUCACAAACAAAUAAAUUCUUCAGGGCAUGGGACCCUUUAGUGCAUACAAGGGCAUUAUAAAUUUAAGAAACAGACAAUCCUUGUCUACUCAGAGCAAUAAGAGCAACAACAAAAGCUAUGCCAAAAUGCAAAAAAUUCAACUAUGAAAAUAAUGUCUUAAGUGGCAUUUCUCAAAACCAUUAGAAUAUCGGCUGCUCAAUGCUCAACAUGCACAUAAAUCAACAUAUACAUAAAUACUUAGCUUAAAAAAAGGUAUCCGUGAUAACUGUAUCGAAUAAUGGUAUACCUGAACCAGUUGGGGACCAGCCAGUUUCAGAAAAGUGGCAUUUGUCUGAGCAGCACAAGCCCGAGCCAUCAAAGUUUUACCGGUUCCAGGAGGUCCAUACAAUAACACUCCCUUUGGUGGGCGAAUUCCCAACUUCUGAAAACGCUCACUGUGGGUCAUGGGUAAAACAAUCGCCUCAACUAGUUCUUGAAUCUGUUUCAAUAAAAACAAAUUAGCGUACGAAAUUCAAAUGUUUGGUAUCUAAGAACAACCAUGACCGCCUCAACAGAGAAUGUCUCAAAUAUGAAACUUGCCUGCUUCUCCAGCCCUCCAAUGUCAUUGUAGUCUUCAGUUGGUUUUUCGUCAACCUUCCAUAGCCUUUACUCGAGAAUCAUACUCGGAUGGAAGAGUAUCCAAGAUCAGGUAACUAUCCUUGUUCACACCAACAAGAUCCCCAGGCUUCAAGGUAUCAGGAUCAACAAGCCCAACAACUGGGAGAAAG
rnacentral:lncRNA from 1 species